UUAUAUAUACACAAAACAAAAAUACUUAAAAAUUUAAUUACGAUGAAGUGGUGUACUAUAUAGAUAAUGACUGAAAUCAAUUGCAAAGAUAGCAGUUACAUCUUUAAUUUUUAAGAAUCAACUCAAGUCGUUUUUAUAAAUUAUUAACUGAAAUGUCUCAAACGACAGUUUCCUUCUUCAGCUGGUGGAUGGCUCUAGAGCCUUGGCCUAAAUUAACAUAUGGAGUCCUUCCUCUUAGUCACUGUGGAAAGUUCAUGAGUGGCGAAUAUUUUGAGGAGAUAUUCCUCAGUAGCUAUGUGCCGAUGCUGCCCCCAUAUGGUUUAACAUGGUCUUUAUAUUUUUAAGACCAAGGCUUUUCUGGCUGUGUUUUUCGAUGGAGGAGGGGUGCAGCUGCUGGUGCUGCACUCAAUGGCCGAAUUAACUUUUUCCUCAAUAUGUGUAGCCAACCCAGACCACCAUGAGAGGUAGCACGUGACAUUUGCCAAAUCAACGUGAUAACAUCGCAUAAGACACCUGACUGUGCAGGAAUAACCUUUCAGCAAGGUCCUUUAAUUUAAAAUGGAAGCCUAUGGACGGUCUCAGGUGAACCUGGCCAGAACUGACAAGGUACCAAAGUAACCGCAUGGCUUUCACAGUCACAGGUGGUGACUUCCUUCAGGUACUGGUGACCUAUAUGUAGAAACAAGAUGCAAAGGAUGUACACACACAAACACUUUGAAGAUAAAAUUGUAAAUCAUUGAAGAUAGUGCAGCACCAACACUGGGAAAAACAUUUGUCUUCAAAACCUCUGACAAUUGCAAACGUUUUGAAACCUUGUUUACGGUUGCUUUCGAAAGUCAACAUUGUGCAAGCUUUGACUUUGUGUCCAACUUACCAAAGGCAUCUAUUAGUUUGAACCAUUUGAGGAUUCUUGUAGAACAAGAAUGACCGGAUUGAAUUGCACCAUGAUUAGGGAAGAAUUAAAUGAAUCUGUUAUCCUUUAAAGAAACUGAAACAGGACAGUCAGUUUAUACAUUUGUCCCUGUUUUCUAAAUACAUGUAAUACUGUGUAUGUGUCAUUAAUGCAAAACUUUGCUAAUAGAGAUUAAAAAACAGCGCGUUGA